AUGGCCAACGAGGGCCUGAUCCCUCAUGGAGCUGCGAGGCUUCCGGGGAAAGAGUGGCAGCCCCAGCCGGAAGAGGGUGAGUGCGUGCUUCUGGCUACCCAUGUCGACCGCGGAUUUUCUUUGCCGCCGAGCAUUUUCUUCCGUGAUUUCUUGAACUUUUUUGGAGCGCAACUCCACCACUUCACCCCGAAUUCUAUCGCCUAUCUUGCCGCGUUUGUGUCCAUGUGUGAGAGUUUCCUGGGUUGUCGACCGCAUUGGGGUUUGUUCAAGCACAUAUUCACGUGUCGCUCUCAGACCGUGAAGAAGGCGAGCCCAGGCGACGAAAAAACCCGAGUUGUCCAAAUGUGUGGGGGUCUGGGGAUCCAGGUGAGGAACAAGAGCACCUUCCCAGCCAUGACAUUUCCCGAGUCAGUCAGAGGCUGGCUGUCGACCUGGUUCUACUGCCAGGAUCAGUCGACGCCGGGGCAGUCGAGUGGACUCCCUCAGUUCACCAUGGGCCGAGUGAACAAGCCCUCCUCUCUGAAGGUGAUUCCGGAGGAGAAAGCUGACGUGAAGAUGCUGAUGGAGCGUGUAGUUCAGUUGGUUCGGGAGGGAGUGACGGGUAUGGAUCUCCUGGAGGUUUUCCUUAGACGUCGUAUACAGCCUCUUCAGUUCCGGAGCCAUUGCAUGUGGUUGUACUGCGGGACUGAGGAUGUGACUCGGGUCAAUCCAGAAACAGUCGACGAUGCCACUCUGGAAAGGUGGAUGGCCGCUGUUACUGGGAACAAGGAUAACCCUCGCGGAGCCAGAAGGAUUCCUCCACUCGACUGCCACAGUGAUCCAAACAAGGUAUGUCUGCUCCACUUCCCAUUGUAUUCUCGUCACUUUUAUUUCCGUUUUCUCUGCCGAUCGGUCGACUGA
rnacentral:rRNA from 1 species